rnacentral:rRNA from 1 species
AACGCGAAGAACCUUACCUACUCUUGACAUCCUCGGAAUCCUCUGGAAACAGGGGAGUGCCUUCGGGAACUGAGAGACAGGUGCUGCAUGGCUGUCGUCAGCUCGUGUCGUGAGAUGUUGGGUUAAGUCCCGUAACGAGCGCAACCCUCGUCCUUAGUUGCCAACACGUAAUGGUGGGAACUCUAAGGAGACCGCCGGUGAUAAACCGGAGGAAGGUGGGGAUGAUGUCAAGUCAUCAUGGCCCUUACGAGUAGGGCUACACGCGUGCUACAAUGGACAGUACAGAGGGUUGCCAAACCGCAAGGUGGAGCUAAUCCCAAAAAGCUGUUCGUAGUCCGGAUUGGAGUCUGCAACUCGACUCCAUGAAGUUGGAAUCGCUAGUAAUCGCGGAUCAGAACGCCGCGGUGAAUACGUUCUAGGGCCUUGUACACACCGUACGUC